GGAGUCUAGCAUGUGCGCGAGUCAUUGGGACCGCGACUAAACCUAAAGGCGAAAUGAAAGUGAAGGCGCGCGCUCUAGGGCGCGCGCCGAGGGAGGACGGUCGACGCUCGUCGCCGACCAGCACUCCCGGGGCGUCUCGUUCUCAUCGCGAGAAGAGGCGCACCCAGAGCGUACACGCUGGGACCCGAAAGAUGGUGAACUAUGCCUGGUCAGGACGAAGUCAGGGGAAACCCUGAUGGAGGUCCGUAGCGAUUCUGACGUGCAAAUCGAUCGUCGGAACUGGGUAUAGGGGCGAAAGACUAAUCGAACCAUCUAGUAGCUGGUUCCCUCCGAAGUUUCCCUCAGGAUAGCUGGCGCUCGUUUAGCGCGCGAGUCUCAUCCGGUAAAGCGAAUGAUUAGAGGCAUUGGGGUCGAAACGGCCUCAACCUAUUCUCAAACUUUAAAUGGGUGAGAUCUCCGGCUUGCUUGAACGUUGAAGCCGCGAGAUCGGAUCUAGAGUGCCAAGUGGGCCAUUUUUGGUAAGCAGAACUGGCGCUGUGGGAUGAACCAAACGCCGGAGUUAAAGCGCCAAAAUCGACGCUUAUGGGAUACCAUGAAAGGCGUUGGUAACUUAAGACAGCAGGACGGUGGCCAUGGAA
rnacentral:rRNA from 2 species